AUGAAGCUGGAUUCGCUAGUAAUCGCGCAUCAGCCAUGGCGCGGUGAAUACGUUCCCGGGCCUUGUACACACCGCCCGUCAAGCCAUGGGAGUCGGGAGUGCCUGAAGUUCGUGACCGUCACAGGAGCACCUAAGGCAAGACCGAUGACUGGGGCUAAGUCGUAACAAGGUACC
rnacentral:rRNA from 1 species